rnacentral:rRNA from 1 species
UUGACGGGGGCCCGCACAAGCGGUGGAGCAUGUGGUUUAAUUCGAUGCAACGCGAAGAACCUUACCUGGUCUUGACAUCCACAGAACUUGGCAGAGAUGCCUUGGUGCCUUCGGGAACUGUGAGACAGGUGCUGCAUGGCUGUCGUCAGCUCGUGUUGUGAAAUGUUGGGUUAAGUCCCGCAACGAGCGCAACCCUUAUCCUUUGUUGCCAGCGGUCCGGCCGGGAACUCAAAGGAGACUGCCAGUGAUAAACUGGAGGAAGGUGGGGAUGACGUCAAGUCAUCAUGGCCCUUACGACCAGGGCUACACACGUGCUACAAUGGCGCAUACAAAGAGAAGCGAACUCGCGAGAGCAAGCGGACCUCAUAAAGUGCGUCGUAGUCCGGAUUGGAGUCUGCAACUCGACUCCAUGAAGUCGGAAUCGCUGAUAAUCGUGAAUCAGA